rnacentral:lncRNA from 1 species
CGUGUGCCGCGUGUCCCUGGACGGCGACGCGAGGCAGACGCGCGUGGACAGGGGCGCCUCCAGCCCCUGGUUCGACGAGAUCUUCUUCUACCAGAUCGAGAAGCUUCCCAGUCAGCUCAUGGAGGACUUCCUCGAGUUCAAGGUCUGCAACUCGAGCGGCAUUCGGUCCACGACCAUCAUAGGCGCCUUCAAGUGCGAAGUGGGGAUGGUGUACGACCAACCAGAACACGCAGUCGUCAACCGCUAGCUCGUCUUGGCUAACCCAGACGAACCCACGCCCACUGUGCAAGGAUACCUGAAGGUGAGCGUGGGUGUCCUGGGCCCUGGCGACGUGUGCCCUGACCUGACUGCCUCGCGCACCGACCAGGACGACGUGGAGGCCAACUUGCUGUGGUCAGCCGGCGUCCACCUGCAGCCGGCGACCUUCACGCUCACCGUCUACUGCGCGCAGAACCUCC